UCGACCUCAAAUCAGAUGGGAUUACCCGCUGAACUUAA
rnacentral:rRNA from 1 species